rnacentral:tRNA from 1 species
GCCCUUGUUGCUUAUUGGUGAGAGCAUUGGCCUGCACACUGAAAGGUCUUGGGUUCAAUUCCCGAUCAAAGGCA